AAGGCCGAUGGCGACCGGCGCACGGGUGAGUAACACGUAUCCAACCUGCCGUCUACUCUUGGACAGCCUUCUGAAAGGAAGAUUAAUACAAGAUGGCAUCAUGAGUUCGCAUGUUCACAUGAUUAAAGGUAUUCCGGUAGACGAUGGGGAUGCGUUCCAUUAGAUAGUAGGCGGGGUAACGGCCCACCUAGUCUUCGAUGGAUAGGGGUUCUGAGAGGAAGGUCCCCCACAUUGGAACUGAGACACGGUCCAAACUCCUACGGGAGGCAGCAGUGAGGAAUAUUGGUCAAUGGGCGCAGGCCUGAACCAGCCAAGUAGCGUGAAGGAUGACUGCCCUAUGGGUUGUAAACUUCUUUUAUAAAGGAAUAAAGUCGGGUAUGUAUACCCGUUUGCAUGUACUUUAUGAAUAAGGAUCGGCUAACUCCGUGCCAGCAGCCGCGGUAAUACGGAGGAUCCGAGCGUUAUCCGGAUUUAUUGGGUUUAAAGGGAGCGUAGAUGGAUGUUUAAGUCAGUUGUGAAAGUUUGCGGUUCAACCGUAAAAUUGCAGUUGAUACUGGAUAUCUUGAGUGCAGUUGAGGCAGGCGGAAUUCGUGGUGUAGCGGUGAAAUGCUUAGAUAUCACGAAGAACUCCGAUUGCGAAG
rnacentral:rRNA from 1 species